UGCCGGGUGUGCGGCGAAUACAAGACCCGCAAGGGAAAUAAGCCCGCCGUCUCCGUACGGUCUUUAGCGCCCGGCGCCCAUUCU
rnacentral:ncRNA from 1 species